rnacentral:rRNA from 1 species
UCAUCGUAGGGUUAGUCGGGACCUAAGUCGAGUCCGAAAGGGGUAGACGAUGGAAAAAAGGUUAAUAUUCCUUUACCAACAAUUGAGCGUGAUGUGGGGACGCAUAGAGUUAGACGAGGUCGCUGAUGGAAUAGCGGCUCGAAGGAUGUAGGUUGUAUCUUAGGCAAAUCCGGGAUACAUUAAGACCGAAAUCUGACAGGCUAAAUAAUACUUUCGAGUAGCAUUUAGAAUCGUUGAUACUGUCGUGCCUAGAAAAGCCACUAAGCAUAUCAAUUGUUGCCCGUACCGUAAACCGACACAGGUGGGUGAGAUGAGUAUUCUAAGGCGCGUGGAAGAACUCUGGUUAAGGAACUCUGCAAACUAGCACCGUAAGUUCGCGAUAAGCUGUGCCUGAGUAAUCAGGUCUCAGCAAAGAGUCCCUCCCGACUGUUUAC